CCUACGGGGGGCUGCAGUGGGGAAUCUUAGACAAUGGGGGAAACCCUGAUCUAGCCAUGCCGCGUGAGCGAUGAAGGCCUUAGGGUUGUAAAGCUCUUUCAGAUGGGAAGAUAAUGACGGUACCAUCAGAAGAAGCCCCGGCUAACUCCGUGCCAGCAGCCGCGGUAAUACGGAGGGGGCUAGCGUUGUUCGGAAUUACUGGGCGUAAAGCGCGCGUAGGCGGACUGGAAAGUUGGGGGUGAAAUCCCGGGGCUCAACCUCGGAACUGCCUUCAAAACUAUCAGUCUGGAGUUCGAGAGAGGUGAGUGGAAUUCCGAGUGUAGAGGUGAAAUUCGUAGAUAUUCGGAGGAACACCAGUGGCGAAGGCGGCUCACUGGCUCGAUACUGACGCUGAGGUGCGAAAGCGUGGGGAGCAAACAGGAUUAGAUACCCGAGUAGUC
rnacentral:rRNA from 1 species